rnacentral:rRNA from 1 species
UACGAGGGGGGCGAGCGUUGUUCGGAAUUAUUGGGCGUAAAGGGCGCGUAGGCGGUGCGGUAAGUCUGUAGUGAAAUCUCUGGGCUCAACUCAGAGUCUGCUAUAGAAACUGCCGUGCUAGAGUGCGGUAGAGGAUGGUGGAAUUCCCGGUGUAGCGGUGAAAUGCGUAGAGAUCGGGAGGAACACCAGUGGCGAAGGCGGCCAUCUGGACCAGCACUGACGCUGAGGCACGAAAGCGUGGGGAGCAAACAGG